rnacentral:rRNA from 1 species
AGCGUAGACGGCAUGGCAAGUCUGAAGUGAAAGGCCAGGGCUCAACCCUGGGACUGCUUUGGAAACUGUCAGGCUGGAGUGCAGGAGAGGUAAGUGGAAUUCCUAGUGUAGCGGUGAAAUGCGUAGAUAUUAGGAGGAACACCAGUGGCGAAGGCGGCUUACUGGACUGCAACUGACGUUGAGGCUGAAAGCGUGGGGAGCAAACA